rnacentral:lncRNA from 1 species
CCAUUAUAGUGCAGACUGAAUGUUGCAUACUGUUGUUGUUUUAUUCAUUACUAUAUUAGUGAGUUUGAUUUCAAUCCCAUACUUAGAUGUAAUACCAUUUUAUUAUGAUUUCUUUAACUAUAAAUUGCUUUUUUUUUCCUUUUUUUUCUGUUCAUGUCAUUUCCACUAUUUUGAACUAUUAGUAAUGGUUUUUUUUAACUGAAUGCAAAUGAUAAUGGCGAUAUUCCACACCAAAUGCAAAUAAUGAUUAGCAAGUCAAAUGCAAAUACUUUUGUCAUUGGUGUCUCUGUUCUUCCUUUCUCCUCCCUAGUUUUUUCACACCAUAAUUUAUUUUUCUGAAAUUGUAGGUAGUGCCGAAUGAUUUAUUUUUUUGUUAAUUGGAUGAUUUAUAUUUUACUAUUCAUAUUCUUGUGGUCCAGUAAUUGAUUUUGUUUUUGAUAUUUUACUUUAUUUCGAUACAAAAUGUUUAAUUAUUUUUUAUUUCUAUCAAGUGUCGAUAAAUACUGUUAAUCGUUUUUUCAGACAUCCCCAAUGUUUCACUCUACUAUUUUUCAGACUCCCCCAAUCAAUUCUUCACUCUUUAAAUCAGGUUUUUCAAUUAUCGAAAUGGGUAUCAUUUGUACCUAAACUUCUAGUUAUUGAAUUAUCGAAAUAUACAUAAUGCACUAUGCACUAUGUACUAUGUACUAUGAACAUGAAAUAUGAAAUAUGCACUAUGCACUAUCGUCAAUUUUUUUUAAGUUUAUCAUUUUCCCUACCUAUGCACAUUACUAUUUGUGGAUAUCUUUUCAUUUAAUCCUAUAGUUAUUUUUCCGAAAUAUUAAGAACCUUCAACUGCUUACUGUUGAAAAUUAUUUCUUUUAUGUAGGUCGUUAUUUAAGAAGAUGAAAUUCGUAUGAUGACAACGUUUGACGAUUGAGAUGAUUUGAUAUAUAGAAUUUGGUAUAUUUGUUUGUGUACUAGGGUAUUAUGAAUAAUUGUUUUGGAAUAUUGAUCGUCAUUGGAAAUGAAUCUUUCUUAUUUUUUGGAUGGAUGCCCUCCGUUCCCGUAUCCCUGUUCCAUGCAAUAUGCACUAUUCAAUUUGCACUACGUCAUGUAAUAUGUAUAAUGAGCGCUGAACUAUGUUGAUAUGCACUGUACGUACUAUGCACUAUUAACUUUGCACUAUGUACUAUGCACUUUUGGGAUAUGGAAAAUGCACAAUGCACUAUGUACAAUAAUAGUACUGUUCACUACGCCCAUUCAAUUAGUACGAUUCUAGAUCGAAUGUUAGUAUCGAAUAUUUAAAGUGCACUAUGCACUAUGUACUGUACGUAGAGCACUAUGUACUGUUGACUGUG